CAUCUGUGAAUUCUAAGCUUUUGAGGGACCUUGUAUUCUUAUACAUCAAAAGAUAUGUAGGGAUAUACAGGGAAUUUUAACACAAGAAGCCCACAGGAUAGUUGUUGAAAGAACCUAGGAAUUUUAUUGAUUGGUACUGUUAUUAAUUUUUACCUACAUCUUGACUGUCAUUACAAAAAAGGAUGAUUGAGAGAAAUAGCAACAAGUAGAAGGGAGCUUAGAGUCAUCCAAAGCUCUUCACGUUGAUGGGAGCAGUGGUGUGGUAAAGCAGCUGUGGUGCCGCACAGCGUGUGGACUCCUGCUGCUGCUCUGCUCUGCAUGCCUGGGCACAUCACUGAAACCUGCUUUUACUCAGUGAAGCUGGGUUAAUGGUCCAGUUUUUG
rnacentral:lncRNA from 1 species